GUUCCUGGACAUCUGAUAAAAUUGGAAUGGAAUGGAGAAGAUUAGCAUGACAUCUGUGCAAGGAUGACACACACAAAUCGAGAAAAUGAAAGCAUUGAU
rfam:Cucumis sativus cultivar 9930 chromosome 6, whole genome shotgun sequence.